GGGUUGUGAGGUUAAGCGACUAAGCGUACACGGUGGAUGCCCUGGCAGUCAGAGGCGAUGAAGGACGUGCUAAUCUGCGAUAAGCGCCGGUAAGGUGAUAUGAACCGUUAUAACCGGCGAUUUCCGAAUGGGGAAACCCAGUGUGAUUCGUCACACUAUCAUUAACUGAAUCCAUAGGUUAAUGAGGCGAACCGGGGGAACUGAAACAUCUAAGUACCCCGAGGAAAAGAAAUCAACCGAGAUUCCCCCAGUAGCGGCGAGCGAACGGGGAUGAGCCCAGAGCCUGAAUCAGCAUGUGUGUUAGUGGAAGCGUCUGGAAAGGCGCGCGAUACAGGGUGACAGCCCCGUACACAAAAGCGCAUGUGCUGUGAGCUCGAUGAGUAGGGCGGGACACGUGGUAUCCUGUCUGAAUAUGGGGGGACCAUCCUCCAAGGCUAAAUACUCCUGAUUGACCGAUAGUGAACCAGUACCGUGAGGGAAAGGCGAAAAGAACCCCGGCGAGGGGAGUGAAAAAGAACCUGAAACCGUGUACGUACAAGCAGUGGGAGCACCCUUUUG
rnacentral:rRNA from 1 species